UGCUUGGUGCUAUUUGUAUAGGAAUCAUCAGUGAUAACAUUAAUCCUACCAUUUUUUCUUUAUGUCAAAAGGAAUACUUCUUUCUUAUUGCAACAUCUAAUUUUUUUAUUGGUACAUUCAUUUUUUUUCUUAGUUACCUGGUAUCUCCAUUUACUGCAUCCAUUUUACCUAAAACAAUACACGAAUCCCUUUAUAAUUUUUUUGCAACCGUAAUAUUAUUUGCGGCUUCAAUAAGUCUGAUAACAGAAAUACAUACGGGUGAUACAGUGUAUAAUUAUAAGGCAUUAUUAGCAGCUUCUAUUUGUGGUCUACUAAAUACCAUUUUAUAUAUUUUCAACGCGAUCAUCGCCUAUAUCACAAUAUGGAUGGAGUAAUUAGGCCUCCUGAUGUCAAAACUGUAACAUAGUUUAUACUGAUGUCUGAUGUAGAG